AACGAACGCUGGCGGCAUGCCUAACACAUGCAAGUCGAACGAGACCUUCGGGUCUAGUGGCGCACGGGUGCGUAACGCGUGGGAACCUGCCCUUAGGUUCGGAAUAAUCUCCCCGAAAGGGGUGCUAAUACCGGAUAAUGUCUUCGGACCAAAGAUUUAUCGCCUUUGGAUGGGCCCGCGUUGGAUUAGCUAGUUGGUAGGGUAAAAGCCUACCAAGGCGACGAUCCAUAGCUGGUCUGAGAGGAUGAUCAGCCACACUGGGACUGAGACACGGCCCAGACUCCUACGGGAGGCAGCAGUGGGGAAUAUUGGACAAUGGGCGAAAGCCUGAUCCAGCAAUGCCGCGUGAGUGAUGAAGGCCUUAGGGUUGUAAAGCUCUUUUACCCGGGAUGAUAAUGACAGUACCGGGAGAAUAAGCUCCGGCUAACUCCGUG
rnacentral:rRNA from 1 species